ensembl:snoRNA
AUCCUUUUGUAGUUCAUAAGCAUGACAAUUGGGUUUUCAUGCUCAUGUGUGAGCUGCACCUCCCUUAAACCUUGUUAUGAUGCUGACACAUGACUCGUCUGACA